UACAGAGGUCCCAAGCGUUACUGAGAAUCACUGGGUUUAAAGGGUGCGUAGGUGGUCCGUUAAGUCAGUUGUGAAAUCCCCGGGCUCAACCCGGGAACUGCUUCUGAUACUGGCGGACUUGAGGCCAGUAGGGGUCACUAGAACUGACGGUGGAGCGGUGAAUGCGUAGAUAUCAGGAGGAACACCGGUGGCGAAGGCGGGUCUCUGGGCAAUAACUGACGCUGAGGAGCGAAAGCGUUGGGGAGCGAACAGG
rnacentral:rRNA from 1 species